rnacentral:rRNA from 1 species
AAGGCACCUYCGGGUGUACACGAGCAGCGAACGGGUGAGUAACGCGUGGGUAAUCUACCUAGAGGUGGGGGAUAGCCUCGGGAAGCCGGGGGUAAUACCGCAUGAGUCCUUUCCAACAUAAGUUGGAUUGGGGAAAGGCGGGGAUCUUCGGACCUGUCGCCUCUGGAUGAGCCCGCGUCCGAUUAGCUUGUUGGUGAGGUAAUGGCUCACCAAGGCAUCUAUCGGUAGCCGGCCUGAGAGGGUGAACGGCCACAUUGGGACUGAGACACGGCCCAGACUCCUACGGGAGGCAGCAGUGGGGAAUUUUGGGCAAUGGGCGCAAGCCUGACCCAGCGACGCCGCGUGGAGGAUGAAGGCCUUCGGGUUGUAAACUCCUGUCAGGUGGGAAGAAGAGCCCUGUGGUUAAUAGCCACAAGGAAUUGACGGUACCACCAAAGGAAGCCCCGGCUAACUCCGUGCCAGCAGCCGCGGUAAUACGGAGGGGGCAGGCGUUAUUCGGAUUUACUGGGCGUAAAGCGCACGUAGGCGGCAAUUUAAGUCACAGGUGAAAGCCCUCGGCUCAACCGAGGAACUGCCUGCGAAACUGGAUUGCUUGAGUCCGG